rnacentral:rRNA from 1 species
UACGUAGGGUGCGAGCGUUGUCCGGAAUUAUUGGGCGUAAAGGGCUCGUAGGCGGUCUGUUGCGUCAGGAGUGAAAACUCGGGGCUUAACCCCGAGCCUGCUUCUGAUACGGGCAGACUAGAGGUAUGCAGGGGAGAACGGAAUUCCUGGUGUAGCGGUGAAAUGCGUAGAUAUCUGGAGGAACACCGGUGGCGAAGGCGGCAUCCUGGACCGGCAUUGACGCUGAGUCGCGAAAGCCAGGGGAGCAAACGGG